UCAAACUCAGAAAUUCGCCUGC
rnacentral:piRNA from 1 species